AGAGUUUGAUCCUGGCUCAGGAUGAACGCUGGCGGCGUGCUUAACACAUGCAAGUCGAACGAUGACUUUUGUGCUUGCACAAAAUGAUUAGUGGCGAACGGGUGAGUAACACGUGAGUAACCUGCCCUUAACUUCGGGAUAAGCCUGGGAAACCGGGUCUAAUACCGGAUACGACGGAUUCCCGCAUGGGGGUCCGUGGAAAGCUUGAUGCGGUUUUGGAUGGACUCGCGGCCUAUCAGCUAGUUGGUUGGGGUAACGGCUCACCAAGGCGACGAUCGGUAGCCGAACUGAGAGGGUGAUCGGCCACAUUGGGACUGAGACACGGCCCAGACUCCUACGGGAGGCAGCAGUGGGGAAUAUUGCGCAAUGGGGGAAACCCUGACGCAGCAACGCCGCGUGAAGGAUGAAGGUCUUCGGAUUGUAAACUUCUGUUCUGAGGGGCGAACAAGGCCGGUCCCUCAGGAGGAAGCCAGGGUUAAUUACGUCCCACCAGGCGGGGUAAUAGUUAGGUGCCAAGGUUUUUCGGGAUUUUUUGGGUGUAAAGGGUGUGUAGGGGGGUUUAUAAUUCAGAUGUGAAAUCCCGGGGUUUACCCCCGGUGCCCCAUUUGUAACUGUCAAUUUUGAGUCUCUGAGAGGUAAGCGGAAUUCGUAGUGUAGCGGUGAUAUGCGGAGAUCUUAGGAGGCACACCAGUGGCGAAGACGUCUUUGGGGUGUAUAUGUGACGGUGAGGCGAGAACGCGUGGGUAGCACACAAGAUGAGAUCCCCUGAUAGUACACGCUGUAAACUAUGCAUAAUAGGUGUAGGACAUAUCGACUCUUUCUGUCCGGAAGUUAACCCAAUAAGUAUUCCACUGGGGAGGUCGGAUGCCAGGAUUGAAAUUCAAAGGAAUUGCGGGGGGCCGCCCCAAGCAGUGGACUAUGUGGUUUAUUUGGAAGCAACGGGAGGACCCUUCCCAGGACUGGCCAUCCUCGGAAUCCUAUAGAGACAGGUCCGCCCCUUCGGGAAUCGAGACACAGGCGGCGCAGGGUUGUUGUCAGCUUGUGUCGUGAGAUGUGGGGUUAUCUCCCGCAGCGAGCGCCCCCCCUUUUACCAGUCCCCAGCAUUAAGUUGGGCACUCAGGCGAGACUGCCGGCGUUAAGUCGGAGGAAGGUGGGGACGACGUCAAAUCAUCAUGCCCCUUAUGUCCUGGGCUACACACGUACUACAAUGGCUGAAAACAAAGGGAAGCGAAGUCGCGAGGCUAAGCAAAUCUCAAAAAACAGUCUCAGUUCAGAUUGUAGGCUGAAACUCGCCUACAUGAAGUCGGAAUUGCUAGUAAUCGCGGAUCAGAAUGCCGCGGUGAAUACGUUCCCGGGCCUUGCACACACCGCCCGUCAA
rnacentral:rRNA from 1 species